CCCCCUUUUUAAAAAUAGCAAAAUUGGGAUAUCAUCCAUGUGUCUAGAAUUUGCUAUUUUAAAAAUCAUAUCAUGGUAAUCAGCUUUCAAGAUAGUCUCUAACGAUCUAUUGCCUCCUCAUAUUUACAGCCUUGUCAACUUCUCCCACAUUGAACUAGCAUGGUCUUCGUGACCAACAGAAGAUGGCGGAAGUAGGCGCAGCUCACUGCUGAGGGCUCGAACUCCAGUCUUUGCGCUUGCGCGGAAGACGGCGAAACCACUGAGCUAAAUCCCCGGCCCUAACUUUGCUAUUUUAAUGUCGCUGGCCUUUCUCUUUAGCCAUUUCACACACUGUAAUUUUUAAAUGGUGGGUAAGAAUUUGCAAAGACAAUACAGGCCACUUGAGACACACAGAUGAGCUUGGACAAAGAGAAGAAAACUUGUGUGAUUUCCAUGGGGAACUUGUGAGCAUGCGCUUGUUGACCUUGAAGAAGAGUGCGCAGAGAGAGGCAGGACUAGCCCAGAAGACCUCAGAGCCGGUUUAGUGAGCCAGAACUUCUUCCUGUAGGCGAUCUCACAAGCAAAGAGAGGUUUUUACACUGAAAUUGGGAUAAUCAGAUUGCAAUUUAGAUCAGUCUCCGGCAGCUGUGUCUAGCAGGAUGGCUCUCAGGGCACAGGACUGGAAACAGACACGCCAUUUAAGAAGCUGCAAUUGUCCAGAGAAAAGCUAAUGAUGGCGUGAACUGUGGCAGCGGGUAGGUUGAGGGGAAGAGACAAAAAUGGAGAAAUAUUGAGAGUAAAAAAGAUAGGAGUUUCAAUGUGCUUGGAGCAAAGGGGUGGGAAACGGGGAAAGAAGAGAUUGGUGCGUUGGUCUUCAGCUUGGCCUCAACGUGUAUUUAGCUUGGCUUUAGAUUAUUAACAAGUGAAAAGACGUGUAGGAGGAGGAACUGAUUUAAUAGGCAAGGUACAUUUGGGUGGAACAAAACAAGUGCAAAACCUUGUGGGAGAUCUAGGUGGGGACAGCAGGAGGUAUUCAGUAGUGUGUGUGUGUGUGUGUGUGUGUAUGUGUGUGUGUGUGUAAAACCUUGUUAAGUUGAUCAGCACAUCCAAGGAGAGGCCUGUUAAGUAAGAAAUUAAUAAGAGCUCAUUUUUGGAAGAGCUCAGUUAACAAGCACCAAAGGCAGAAAGGAUAGCUGGCUCUCGGCCUGGAUCUCCCAGGGACCAAUGGACUUAAUAGGGUCACUCAGACUUGGGCUCAGAUUUUUAGGU
rnacentral:lncRNA from 1 species